UUCUUCUUCUGGAAGAGGAAAUAUUUUGCUUAGGAUAAACAAUUAAUGCUGUGGGCCAAUAGUUUCAAGAAUUAUUUUCCCUUGGAAGAAAAUGUCUAACAACUACUGCUGAGGAUAACAUUGCGAAACUGGUAUCCAUCAAACUGAUAGGUACCCUGCUUUGUAAUGAGGAUUCAGGUCACAGAAUGAUUCUGAGCCAAUUGAGACAACAUGGGCAGUACGCAUCUCUUCAAGCUCUGGCGAUAACAAAUUUGGAACACACAGCGGUGACUGCAGAGAGGAAAGAAACAGAAACACAGAAGUUGUGAGCUUGAUCAGAUGCAUUAAAUUCAGAAUCAAAUGUUAUCAUGUUAAACCAUGCUUCAUUUUUGUGGAACAAUGCAGAAGGUAUAAAAUUUCACUGUACUAUGAUUAACAUAGCAUGUAGAUAUAAACUUAGCUAUGGAAACAAAGCUUUUCGAUCUGCUGUCAUUUCAAA